CAGCGCCACAAGUGGGGAUCGCUUUUAUUGGGCCUAAAGCGUCCGUAGCCGGUCUAUCGAAUCUCUUGUGAAAUCGUUCGGCUCAACCGAACGGCGUGCAGGAGACACUCCUAGACUAGGGACCGGGAGGGGUCAGAGGUAUUCUGGGGGGAGCGGUAAAAUGCUAUAAUCCCCGGAGGACCACCGGUGGCGAAGGCGUCUGACCAGAACGGAUCCGACGGUGAGGGACGAAAGCCAGGGGAGCAAUCCGGAUUAGAUACCCGCGUAGUCC
rnacentral:rRNA from 1 species